CAUUUUCCACAAGUUUUAUUUGCAGUUAAAAUGAGUUGUUCAAGUAGAUAGAUGGAUGGACAGACAGAUAUUUGCUCAACAACACAUAUUUCAGCUCUUUUGGUGAAUAAGUUAUUGCAAUUAUUGACCUGCAAGUGAAAAAUGUUGUCUGAAUUUUUAUAAACUGAGUAUUCAUAGGAGGUGAACAUUUUAGAACAUUUUAGGUGUUUGUAGGGUGAAUACAAAUGCAAACAUUAACAUCCCAGACCGAUUUCUACCAGAAAUCUACUGCACAAAAUGGGAGAUUUGAAGUGACAGCCCUUUCCCACUUCACAAGAGAAGAAAAAUAAUGAUUUAAUUAUAAUAUUUAAAUCGCUCAUAGUUAAUGCUUUGAUCAGAUUUUCUUUCAGAAUUUUAAAUUAGCUUGUACAUGUAGUACAUGGACAGCACAUUGUUGGUCACCCACGCCGUAUCCCCAUUUUUGCUGCAGCUCUGCCAUGUAUCCUUCUGGGAAUUUAGUGCUGAUGAAGCUGCUGAAGUUGUUGUAAUCAUUCCAAGUUAUUGUAAUCAUUCAUGGUAGGUUUAAAUCUGCCAGAGAAAAUGGAAAUUUAAGGCAAGUACUAAGCAAGGAUGUCUUACAGAAUUUGCCCUGUGUUCCUAAGUUUAUUUUCUACCACAGAUAGGCUUGUCAUGGCUGUGUGUGGUACAGUAUGAUGGCAUUGCUUUCCUGAAAUUAUUUUGGAGGAGAGAAUGGAAUACGUAGGGUAUUUAUUGAAAGAUAAGGUUGAAUAUUUUUAUCCUGAGGCUCCCCCUGGAGUUGUUUCAUUCUUCUUGUAGGGCGUGAUUUUGGCAGCAAGGAGCACUGUGUUUCAGACUUUGUUAAUGCCUUUGAUGUGAGAAAUCAAACUCUUCUAAGGGGAUCUAAGAAUUCUGGGAAAUGACACUUUUUGCCCCAACGACAAUGAUGUGCAUUGAGAAACUGGAGCCAAGAGUAAAGAUGGAAGCUGGAAUUUGACAUGAAGACAUAUGAUUUCAGAUUCUGGUUUGGAAAGAAUGAAGUUAGAGCCCUUUCUUUUAGGUUAACUGAAAUGAAUUAGAAGCUUGAUGCUGAUUUUAAACCUCUCCAUUGCUAUAGUCUUAGUGGACACAGCUACAGUUUACAUACAUGUAGUACUGAGCUUGUCCUGUAGUCAGAAUUACUUUGCUCUUUUUUUUUUUUUUUUUCCCCAAUAGAUAUAUGGGUCAAGAACAAUCCAAUGAGACCAGGAACAUGAUUUAGUGAUGGGAGUUGGUGGGUCAUGCUGAUGGUUGGACUUGGUGAUCUUGAAGGUCUUUUCUAGCCUAGAUGAUUCUAUGAUUCCAAUUAAGUCCAGUGUCAUGAGCCCCAAGUUUUCCUAGCAGUCCUGACUAAAUGAUGGGGAGAAUGAGGCCUUCUGAUGUGGUCUGUGUUGUUCUGCCUUUGUAAUACCUAAAAGCCAUAAACAGCAUCAUUUUUCAAAUCCCCCUGUAAACAAAUCUCCUCCCAUAUUGCCCACAAAUGUGUAGGAUAUCUGCACCUGUCAACAGCUAGGCUGCUGAAGUGCCAAGAUUACUGUCUGGACCAACAUCAUUCCUUCCUGAUGUGUUAUUUCUUGACAUAUUUGAGGACAGGAACUCUCUUUGCACUCCAUGUUAGCCCAGUUCCUUGCAAAACAGCCAUCUGGUAUGGUGCUCCUUGGUGUUACAGCUAUGCAGAUGGGAAGUAAAGUCGGGUUAGUGCUCUGCAUAUUUAUCUCAUCACUGUAAAAUGAUUUAAUAUAAGGAAAAAAUGAGAUUGCCUUGAAGGCAUGGCUAGCUGGCUGCACAGAGGCAAGAAAAGUCAGCCUUCCACCUGCCAGGCUCUUCUUUGGUAUCCUGGGUGCUCAUACAGGAGUUUCUGAAGAUAGGGGGAUCUCAGCUUGCAAGACCAUGUGGAGGACUUACCCCAAAUCUCUGGAAAAGGAUGGGAAGCUGCUAGGUAAUAAGCUUGUGUGGAACUGGAACAGGUU
rnacentral:lncRNA from 1 species